GGCAGCUUCCUGAACAACACUGACUGUUGGAUGGCAGGCUGGGGCAUGGGCCAGGGAGGCGCCCAAGAAACCCUGCAGGAGUUCAACACCACGGUGGUGGGUUGUAGCAACACGUCAUCCAGUGACUACAUCUGCACCGAAGCGCUGACUGUGAGAAUGGGUGACGCCGGAGGCCCCCUGAUGUGCAAGAGCGGCAACUCUUGGACCCAAGUGGCCGGGGCUUCCCAACGUCAUGGGCAACAGCAGCAUGGUG